AUACGAGUGCCCCAAGCGUUACCCGGAAUCACUGGGCGUAAAGGGUGUGCAGGCGGUUAUGUUAGUCUUUCGUUAAAUCUUUCGGCUCAACCGAAAAACUGCGGAGGAAACGGCAUAACUAGAGGAUGCGAGAGGUCUAGGGAACUCAUAGUGUAGGGGUGAAAUCCGUUGAUAUUAUGGGGAACACCAAAAGCGAAGGCACUAGACUGGCGCAUUCCUGACGCUCAUACACGAAAGCGUGGGUAGCGAACGGGAUUAGAUACCCCGGUAGUCC
rnacentral:rRNA from 1 species